UACGAAGGGGGCUAGCGUUGUUCGGAAUUACUGGGCGUAAAGCGCACGUAGGCGGACAUUUAAGUCAGGGGUGAAAUCCCAGAGCUCAACUCUGGAACUGCCUUUGAUACUGGGUGUCUGGAGUAUGGAAGAGGUGAGUGGAAUUCCGAGUGUAGAGGUGAAAUUCGUAGAUAUUCGGAGGAACACCAGUGGCGAAAGGCGGCUCACUGGUCCAUUACUGACGCUGAGGUGCGAAAGCGUGGGGAGCAAACAGG
rnacentral:rRNA from 1 species